AAAAAUAAAACAAUCUUAGAAGAAAAAACAUGAUCAUUUUACAUAUGUCAUACAAAACUCAGCCUCAAGACCCCUAAAGGUUCAGGGUUGUUAAGAUUUAUAUAUAUUUUUUAUUUUGUAAAAACAUAACUUCAUGAUCCCUAAAGGUUCAGGACUUUUAAACUAUAUAUAUUUACAUAUUUUAUUUAUCAAAACAUAUCUCACGACCCCUCAAAGGUUCAGGGCUAUUAAGAUAUGUAUUAAAAUUAAAUUUGAGGAUAAGAAAGGGAAAAGUAAGAUAAAAUAAUAAUACUAAUGAAAAUAGUCAUUUUUCAAAAAUAUCCCUCAAUAAAUCUG
rnacentral:lncRNA from 1 species